GACGAACGCUGGCGGCGUGCUUAACACAUGCAAGUCGAACGCUGAAGCCUAGCUUGCUGGGUGGAUGAGUGGCGAACGGGUGAGUAACACGUGAGUAACCUGCCCCCUUCUUUGGGAUAACGCCCGGAAACGGGUGCUAAUACUGGAUAUUCACUGAUCUUCGCAUGGGGGUUGGUGGAAAGGUUUUUUCUGGUGGGGGAUGGGCUCGCGGCCUAUCAGCUUGUUGGUGGGGUGAUGGCCUACCAAGGCUUUGACGGGUAGCCGGCCUGAGAGGGUGACCGGUCACAUUGGGACUGAGAUACGGCCCAGACUCCUACGGGAGGCAGCAGUGGGGAAUAUUGCACAAUGGGCGAAAGCCUGAUGCAGCGACGCCGCGUGAGGGAUGGAGGCCUUCGGGUUGUAAACCUCUUUCGCUCAUGGUCAAGCCGCAACAUUGGUUGUGGUGAGGGCAGUGGGUAAAGAAGCGCCGGCUAACUACGUGCCAGCAGCCGCGGUAAUACGUAGGGCGCGAGCGUUGUCCGGAAUUAUUGGGCGUAAAGGGCUUGUAGGCGGUUGGUCGCGUCUGCCGUGAAAUCCUCUGGCUUAACUGGGGGCGUGCGGUGGGUACGGGCUGACUUGAGUGCGGUAGGGGAGACUGGAACUCCUGGUGUAGCGGUGGAAUGCGCAGAUAUCAGGAAGAACACCGGUGGCGAAGGCGGGUCUCUGGGCCGUUACUGACGCUGAGGAGCGAAAGCGUGGGGAGCGAACAGG
rnacentral:rRNA from 1 species